rnacentral:rRNA from 1 species
UACGUAGGGUGCGAGCGUUAAUCGGAAUUAACGUGGGCGUAAAGCGUGCGCAGGCGGUUCGAUUGUGUCGGGCGGUCGAAAGCCCCGGGCUUAACCUGGGAAUGGCCGUUGAAACUGGCGAACUGGAGUGUGGCAGAGGGGGUGGAAUUCCGCGUGUAGCAGUGAAAUGCGUAGAGAUGCGGAGGAACACCGAUGGCGAAGGCAGCCCCUGGGCUAAACAGAGCGCUCAGGCAACGAAAGCGUGGGGAGCAAACAGG